rnacentral:rRNA from 1 species
GGNNACGCUGCGGCGGCUUAAUACAUGCAAGUCGAACGGUAACAGUCCCGGCGACGGGAGCUGACGAGUGGCGCACGGGUGCGUAACACGUAUGCAACCUACCCUGUACUGGGGCAUAACCCUGAGAAAUCGGGGCUAAUACUCCAUGGUAUUAUGUUGAGGCAUCUUGACAUGAUUAAAGAUUUAUUGGUACGGGAUGGGCAUGCGUCCCAUUAGUUAGUUGGUGAGGUAAUUGCUCACCAAGGCGAUGAUGGGUAGGGGUUCUGAGAGGAUUAUCCCCCACACUGGUACUGAGACACGGACCAGACUCCUACGGGAGGCAGCAGUAAGGAAUAUUGGGCAAUGGAGGCAACUCUGACCCAGCCAUGCCGCGUGCAGGAAGACAGCCCUAUGGGUUUUAAACUGCUUUUCUGAGGGACUAACUUCACUUACGAGUAGGUGGUUGCAUGUACCUCAGGAAUAAGCAUCGGCUAACUCCGUGCCAGCAGCCGCGGUAAUACGGAGGAUGCGAGCGUUAUCCGGACUUAUUGGGUUUAAAGGGUGCGUAGGCUGACAAAUAAGUCAGUGGUGAAAUACCCCGGCUCAACCGGGGGGUUGCCAUUGAUACUGUAUGUCUGGAGUGUAAUCGAAGUGGGCGGAAUGAGGGGUGUAGCGGUGAAAUGCAUAGAUAUUCCUCAGAACACCGAUAGCGUANGCAGCUCACUAGCUUACCACUGACGCUGANGCACGAAAGCGUGGGUAUCAAACAGGAUUAGAUACCCUGGUAGUCCACGCUGUAACGAUGAUCACUAGCUGUUUGCGACAUACUGUANGUGGCUAA